CCCCCCUUAAAAGAUUUAGAUGCACUAUUGUAAAGUGACUGUUCCACUGGAUGUCAUAAGGUGAAUGCACCAAUUUGUAAGUCGCUCUGGAUAAGAGCGUCUGCUAAAUGACUUAAAUGUAAAUGUAAAUGUAAAUGAGAAUGAAGGCAUCUUUCCCCUGGAACUCUUUCCCCUUGCAGGACAUAAAACAAUAUACAAUUCAGAUAGAUAUCUGAUAUCUGUUCAGAGACAUGACAUGUAGUAUUUUCAUAUUUUAGUGUAACGCUUUUCAUAUUAAUUCAAAAAUGUUUCUUCUUUUAAAAAAAUAUUUUUUUUUAGAAGAUUUUUCACAAAACCAAACGAGUCUCUGUAAUACCAAGCUUUAAAAAAAUAAAAAAAUAUAUAGUUUUUACAUUUAUUUCACGUCAAAUUAAUUUUUUUCUCGACCUGUAGAAACAACUUGGUAGACGACAACGACCACAAUAUUUUAAAUCGUCAGAAGUUGUUACGAGAAACCUUGCACCUCUAUGUCGGCAGAGUGCUUAUUAUCGGAUGGAUUAGGCUACGAAAUCAGACUUUUAAAAAAUUAAUAUGAAUAUAUAUAUAUAUAUAUAUAAUGAGCAAUUCAGAACAUGAAUAAUCAUAUUUGUCCUAGUAAAAUGUAUUUUAUAACAUAAGGAAGUGAAAUUUAAUUUCAAAUUAUCAAAAAGCGUGUUCGGACACUCUUCAUAGUGUAGUUAUCAGUCUUGAAGUCUACGAGGUAAAGAAACCAAUCUGGAAUAAAGAAGUCUACGAGGUAAAGAAACCAAUCUGGAAUAAAGAAGUCUACGAGGUAAAGAAACCAAUCUGGAAUAAAGAAGUCUACGAGGUAAAGAAACCAAUCUGGAAUAAAGAACUCUACGAGGUAAAGAAACCAAUCUGGAAUAAAGAGUUAUUUUCUUCCAAAUCUCCUUUCUCCCUCCCUCCUCUCUUCUUCAGCCAUUUUUGAACGCAUGUGCCUCCUUAACCUCUGACCCCCAGCCAUCCCCCCCCCAGUAACCUCUGACCCCCCCGCCAUCCCCCCGCCCCAGUAACCUCUGACCCCCCGCCGCCCACCACAUCGAAAACCUGUAAAAAGAAAAUGUUAUUCUAUUUUAUAUUUUUCCAAUGGGAAUAAUAUUAAAAAAAUAUAUAUAAAAAGAAGUUACCAUAUGUGUAGAAUAUAUUUAAUAUGAAUGUUAUAUUGAACAAGUUGAGGCCAAUCGAUCCAGUAUGUUGAUACAGUAUCUUAGUGUCUGUGUGUACACAAUGGGUUAGCUAGCUAGCUUUCUAGACAGUGGUUCAAACUGUAACCUUGGUGACAGGGUCUGUGUCCCGCCCCCAUCCCCCCCCUCCCUCUGAUUGGCUCCCGUUUUCCAUAUAUAGUGCACUACUUUCAACUGUGGCCCAUAGAACCUGUGAUGGACUAGCGUCCUGUCCAGGGGGUGUACUUGUACAUCAAGCUACCUCACGCUCCUGUCUUAUGGGCUUUUCUAGCUCAGACAAGGCUACUUACAGACAUAGGGCCGGGGUCCAAAGUAGUGCACUAUUUAGGGGAAAUAAGGUGCCAAUUUAGGACGCAGACAACAUACUGUAUUUCAAGCAGCAGAACAGAACCAUCCUCCUAAUCAUUGACGUACAGAAUUAUUAUAAACAUGUUAUACUUCUCAUAUAUAUAUAUAUUUUCUUUUCAAAUGUUCAUAGUUUAAUAUAAUCCUUAUUUUUAUUAUUAUUUUUUUUUUGCUUUCUUGCAGCACUAGGUCUUAAAGGAUACGUCCCAAAUUGUAUCAUAUUUCCCUGCAUAGUGCACUACCCAUAUGGCUCUGGUCAAAAGUAGUGCACUUUUGUAGGUGAAUAGGAUGCGAUUUGGGACGUAAGCCCAAAGAGUAUAGUUUCUCAGCGAUCAGAGUUUCAAGCUUGUACAGUGAUAAUAUUAAAAAUCAUUUUUCAAACGGAUUGUAAAUAAUAGUAAUCUAAAUGCUUCUUCUCUCUUGACCCCUCUUCUUCACAUGGAAUAAAUACAUCUUUUAAACAAAUAAAGAUGAUUGAAAGUGCA